rnacentral:rRNA from 1 species
UACGUAGGGAGCAAGCGUUGUCCGGAAUCAUUGGGCGUAAAGCGCGCGUAGGUGGCCACAUAAGUCCGUUGUGAAAGUCAAAGGCUCAACCUUUGAAAGCCGAUGGAUACUGUGUGGCUAGAGUACGGAAGAGGCGAGUGGAAUUCCUGGUGCAGCGGUGGAAUGCGCAGAUAUCAGGAGGAACACCAAUAGCGAAGGCAGCUCGCUGGGACGUUACUGACACUGAGGCGCGAAAGCGUGGGGAGCGAACAGG